GUCCCAAGGCGACAUGUCCUCGAAAACCGAUGCAACUCGAACUCCGACGGCCGGCUCCGAAUGAGUCGCGGCUGAGGACCCGGCGCGCGAUGGAGUCCCGGCCGCUGGGGGCGGCAUGCUGCCGGCGCCCCACCCGGAAGUGAUCGUGCAGUCGCCCUCCCCGGAGGCAGAGCCCUCUCCGCCGCGCUCUCCGACGCCCGCUCCAGCACCUGAACCGGGGCCGGGGCCGGAUCCUGGUGGGGCCAUGAUGCCCGAGGCGGAGCCGCCGAGCGAGGCGCCGCAGGAGGCCCCCCACGCCCACGCGGAGCCCGUCCACGGCGGACACACCAAGACCCUCGUCGCCAACCUCGCCGACCGUGACCGCGAAGAGGCCUCCAUGCCGCUGCCUCUCCCCAGACGUCCCGCCCCCUCCGACUCCGAGGACGACGAGGAACUCAACGAUGCUCCAGUUCGAAACCGUGGUGGAGGUGUGGGGACAACAGCGGUGUCCGUGGGGGGCCCCGGAGGCGGUGGCGGAAGCGGCGGCGGAGGCGGACUAUGGGGGCCCAGCCGGCCAGGGAGCCCUGCUGCGGACAAUGCCAGCGACACCUCCUCCGUCAUGCCGCCCCUCCCCACAAGGCCAAAGUCCCGCGCCGACGCCAAGUAUAAUAACCUCUCAUACUGGCGUGCCAGAAAGGUAAAGUAUCACCUCACUGUCAUAUUUGCACUGGAAAGAAAUAGAGUCCCUUUAUAGAGGGUUUAUGAAUGUCACAAACAGGAAUAAAGAUCACACAAAUCGGACGUUUUUUGUAAUCUUUGAUCCACCCAUUCCCGAAUUCCUGUCUUGGAUCCCUCCCUCAUUCCAUUUGUUCCUUGCCGUACCCCCAAUGGAGAUGUUGCAUGUGUGAGGAAUUUGCGAUUUGACAAUUAAUUGUUAUGCAAAAGUUCGCGAGAAACACGAUUGUGCCACUGUUUUUCUCUGAAAUAAACUCCCAAGCUCAAAAAAGCUCUCAAGAUGAGGCCAAAAUGGAGGGGAUAUCCCACGCUAUCCUGAGAGUCCACCUCUACAUCAAGACAAACUAUCCAUGCAAAGAUAGGGAGCAAAUACACUCGCACAGUUGCCGUGAUUUCAGAUUUAGAGUCCCCAAAUAAGGUGGCAGUCCUGUCAAUGUAUUUGCUCCCUGUCUUUGCAUGGAGAGUUUGUCUUGAUGUAGAGGUGGACUCUCAGGAUAGCGUGGGAUAUCCCCUCCAUUUUGGCCUCGACUUGAAAACUUUUUUUUUUAGCUUGGGAGUUGAUUUCAGAGAAAACCAGUGGCACCAUCGUGUUCCUCGCGAACUUUUACAUAAGAUUCAGUAUUCCAAUCGCAAAUUCCUCACACAUGCAACAUCUCCAUUCCAGUUUAUAAUCUUUGCAAUCGAUGAAAAUGUAAUCUUUAUUCCCGUUUGUGACACUGUGAAAAUGUGACACGGCCUAAAAUACAAGAACCAAUCAGAAAUGGAUUCACAUUGUCUUCACUCUCAUUAUAAAGGGACUCUGGAAGAAAGGUCCAGUUUAAGAAUCUCAAAAAAUGCAAUUUCCUCACAAUACGUAACGCUCUAGGGAGAGGGAGGAGGGCCGUGCAUAGAUCUGAACCUGCGAUGCGGGUGUGACACGAUGGGGAAGAAAAUGCGUUUGAGGCUGUGUUACGUACCAUUAAAAUGGGUGCGUAGUGCCCAUUCUUUGAAAAACUUGGAUGAAAAUAUUAACACAAGGUAGUGCUUGGUCAUUAAAAAUUCAUCUUAAAACGCCAACAAGACGAGGCAGGGUCUAUCGAAGCGUUACAUAAUUUUCCCAGGAGGAAGUUGUAUAGGCCUUUGUUAAGGGUGUGUGACAAAAGAG
rnacentral:lncRNA from 1 species